GAUGAACGCUGGCGGCGUGCCUAAUACAUGCAAGUCGAGCGAACAGACGAGGAGCUUGCUCCUCUGACGUUAGCGGCGGACGGGUGAGUAACACGUGGAUAACCUACUAAUAAGACGGGGAUAACUUCGGGAAACCGGAGCUAAUACCGGAUAAUAUAUUGAACCGCAUGGUGCAAUAGUGAAAGACGGUUUUGCUGUCACUUAUAGAUGGAUCCGCGCCGCAUUAGCUAGUUGGUAAGGUAACGGCUUACCAAGGCAACGAUGCGUAGCCGACCUGAGAGGGUGAUCGGCCACACUGGAACUGAGACACGGUCCAGACUCCUACGGGAGGCAGCAGUGGGGAAUCUUCCACAAUGGGCGAAAGCCUGACGGAGCAACGCCGCGUGGGUGAAGAAGGUCUUCGGGUCGUAAAGCUCUGUUAUUAGGGAAGAACAACUGUGUAAGUAUCUAUCCCCGUCUUGACGGUACCUAAACAGAAAGCACCGGCUAACUACGUG
rnacentral:rRNA from 1 species